rnacentral:rRNA from 1 species
AAUGAACGCUGGCGGCUUGCCUAAUACAUGCAAGUCGAGCGAACCGUCGGGGCUCUUGGCCCUCUGGGGGUUUAGGCGGUGGGAACAGCCCCUCGGGUCUGAACUACCUCCCCGAAUGGGGUCCAAUUACGGAAAAGGGGCUCCGACCAAAGAAUUUAUUGCUUUGGAUGGGCCCGAGGUGGAAUAGGUAGUUGGUAGGGUUAAAAGCUACCAAGGCGACGAUCCAUAGCUUGGAUGAGAGGAUGAUCAGACACACUGGGACUGAGACACGGCCCAGACUCCUACGGGAGGCAGCAGUGGGGAAUAUUGGACCAUGGGCGAAAGCCUGAUCCAGCAAUGCCGCGUGAGUGAUGAAGGCCUUAGGGUUGUAAAGCUCUUUUACCCGGGAUGAUAAUGACAGUACCGGGAGAAUAAGCUCCGGCUAACUCCGUG